ACGAACGCUGGCGGCAGGCCUAACACAUGCAAGUCGAGCGCGCCCUUCGGGGUGAGCGGCGGACGGGUUAGUAACGCGUGGGAAUAUGCCCAAAGGUACGGAAUAGCCUCUGGAAACGGAGAGUAAUACCGUAUGUGCCCUUCGGGGGAAAGAUUUAUCGCCUUUGGAUUAGCCCGCGUUAGAUUAGGUAGUUGGUGGGGUAAUGGCCUACCAAGCCUACGAUCUAUAGCUGGUUUUAGAGGAUGAUCAGCAACACUGGGACUGAGACACGGCCCAGACUCCUACGGGAGGCAGCAGUGGGGAAUCUUGGACAAUGGGGGCAACCCUGAUCCAGCCAUGCCGCGUGAGUGAUGAAGGCCUUAGGGUCGUAAAGCUCUUUCGCCUGUGAAGAUAAUGACGGUAGCAGGUAAAGAAACCCCGGCUAACUCCGUGCCAGCAGCCGCGGUAAUACGGAGGGGGUUAGCGUUGUUCGGAAUUACUGGGCGUAAAGCGCACGUAGGCGGAUCGGAAAGUUGGGGGUGAAAUCCCGGGGCUCAACCCCGGAACUGCCUCCAAAACUAUCGGUCUAGAGUUCGAGAGAGGUGAGUGGAAUUCCGAGUGUAGAGGUGAAAUUCGUAGAUAUUCGGAGGAACACCAGUGGCGAAGGCGGCUCACUGGCUCG
rnacentral:rRNA from 1 species